rnacentral:tRNA from 1 species
UGGCAUAGUGGUUAAGCACUUGGCUGAUAACCAAAAGAUUGGUAGUUCAAACCCACC